AAUGGUGGUGUCAAACUACAUAAAUUUCUGCUUACUAAAUACACUUAUACUAUACCUUUCCAGAUGUUUCUUUAGCUUAUUCAAUUACCAAAAUUGGAGUAGAAAUUGUCCAGAGGUUUGUUCACUAUAACAACACGAGAGGAAACCUAAAGUUCAUUUAUUUAGGUGGUUGGAUUGAUGAAAAUUGAAGGGGAAGGAGUUAAAGUGGAAAAGGGAUGAUCACUCCUCUCAGUUCUAAGGAGGAGACUAGUUAAUCAUACCAAGCAACUUCAUCAGGUUCCUUCAGAUAAAGUAUGUACAAGCUGGGCUGUUUCAAAUUUCCUUCUAUAAAGCGUAAAGUAUUCAUUUGUUAAGAUAAUAUUAAGAGGGAGGUGCUUAGGAACCUGAGACACACUCUCCUCGUUCUCAUCUUCCUUUCUCUUCCCUCAUUUCUAUACCAUGUCAUAUGAAAGCAUGAUGGAGAGCAAAAACAGACUACAUGUUUACAUAAACUAAUCCCAGUUUUCGUUUCAUCUAUAACUAACUUAUUCUCGAUGAUUAAAACUAUAAAAGAAAAAAAAAA
rnacentral:lncRNA from 1 species